GAUGAACGCUGGCGGCGUGCUUAACACAUGCAAGUCGAACGGAGCUUGUCUGAUGGAGGAUUCGUCCAAUUGAUUUCAAGCUUAGUGGCGGACGGGCGAGUAACGCGUGAGGAACCUGCCUUGGAGUGGGGAAUAACACAGUGAAAAUUGUGCUAAUACCGCAUAAUGCAGUUGAGUCGCAUGGCUCUGACUGCCAAAGAUUUAUCGCUCUAAGAUGGCCUCGCGUCUGAUUAGGUAGUUGGUGAGGUAACGGCUCACCAAGCCGACGAUCAGUAGCCGGACUGAGAGGUUGGCCGGCCACAUUGGGACUGAGACACGGCCCAGACUCCUACGGGAGGCAGCAGUGGGGAAUAUUGGGCAAUGGGCGCAAGCCUGACCCAGCAACGCCGCGUGAAGGAAGAAGGCUUUCGGGUUGUAAACUUCUUUUGUCAGGGACGAAUAAAUGACGGUACCUGACGAAUAAGCCACGGCUAACUACGUGCCAGCCGCCGCGGUAAAAC
rnacentral:rRNA from 1 species